UACGGAGGGUGCUAGCGUUGUUCGGAAUCACUGGGCGUAAAGCGCGUGUAGGCGGCCCAUUAAGUCUGAUGUGAAAGCCCGGGGCUCACCCCCGGAAGUGCAUUGGAAACUGAUGGGCUCGAGUCCCGGAGAGGAGGGUGGAAUUCCUGGUGUAGCGGUGAAAUGCGUAGAUAUGCGGAGGAACACCGAUGGCGAAGGCAAUCCCCUGGGCCUGCACUGACGCUCAUGCACGAAAGCGUGGGGAGCAAACGGG
rnacentral:rRNA from 1 species